GGUGGGAUCAUAUGUGUGUGUGUGUGUGUGUGUGUGUGUGUGUGUGUGUAUAUAUAGUCAUUCACACACACACACACACACACACACACACAUACAUAUA
rnacentral:miRNA from 1 species